rnacentral:rRNA from 1 species
GGGACACGUGGUAUCCUGUCUGAAUAUGGGGGGACCAUCCUCCAAGGCUAAAUACUCCUGACUGACCGAUAGUGAACCAGUACCGUGAGGGAAAGGCGAAAAGAACCCCGGCGAGGGGAGUGAAAAAGAACCUGAAACCGUGUACGUACAAGCAGUGGGAGCACAGAGCAAUCUGUGUGACUGCGUACCUUUUGUAUAAUGGGUCAGCGACUUAUAUUCUGUAGCAAGGUUAACCGAAUAGGGGAGCCGAAGGGAAACCGAGUCUUAACUGGGCGUUAAGUUGCAGGGUAUAGACCCGAAACCCGGUGAUCUAGCCAUGGGCAGGUUGAAGGUUGGGUAACACUAACUGGAGGACCGAACCGACUAAUGUUGAAAAAUUAGCGGAUGACUUGUGGCUGGGGGUGAAAGGCCAAUCAAACCGGGAGAUAGCUGGUUCUCCCCGAAAGCUAUUUAGGUAGCGCCUCGUGAAUUCAUCUCCGGGGGUAGAGCACUGUUUCGGCAAGGGGGUCAUCCCGACUUACCAACCCGAUGCAAACUGCGAAUACCGGAGAAUGUUAUCACGGGAGACACACGGCGGGUGCUAACGUCCGUCGUGAAGAGGGAAACAACCCAGACCGCCAGCUAAGGUCCCAAAGUCAUGGUUAAGUGGGAAACGAUGUGGGAAGGCCCAGACAGCCAGGAUGUUGGCUUAGAAGCAGCCAUCAUUUAAAGAAAGCGUAAUAGCUCACUGGUCGAGUCGGCCUGCGCGGAAGAUGUAACGGGGCUAAACCAUGCACCGAAGCUGCGGCAGCGACGCUGAUGCGUUGUUGGGUAGGGGAGCGUUCUGUAAGCCUGCGAAGGUGUGCUGUGAGGCAUGCUGGAGGUAUCAGAAGUGCGAAUGCUGACAUAAGUAACGAUAAAGCGGGUGAAAAGCCCGCUCGCCGGAAGACCAAGGGUUCCUGUCCAACGUUAAUCGGGGCAGGGUGAGUCGACCCCUAAGGCGAGGCCGAAAGGCGUAGUCGAUGGGAAACAGGUUAAUAUUCCUGUACUUGGUGUUACUGCGAAGGGGGGACGGAGAAGGCUAUGUUGGCCGGGCGACGGUUGUCCCGGUUUAAGCGUGUAGGCUGGUUUUCCAGGCAAAUCCGGAAAAUCAAGGCUGAGGCGUGAUGACGAGGCACUACGGUGCUGAAGCAACAAAUGCCCUGCUUCCAGGAAAAGCCUCUAAGCAUCAGGUAACAUCAAAUCGUACCCCAAACCGACACAGGUGGUCAGGUAGAGAAUACCAAGGCGCUUGAGAGAACUCGGGUGAAGGAACUAGGCAAAAUGGUGCCGUAACUUCGGGAGAAGGCACGCUGAUAUGUAGGUGAAGUCCCUCGCGGAUGGAGCUGAAAUCAGUCGAAGAUACCAGCUGGCUGCAACUGUUUAUUAAAAACACAGCACUGUGCAAACACGAAAGUGGACGUAUACGGUGUGACGCCUGCCCGGUGCCGGAAGGUUAAUUGAUGGGGUUAGCGCAAGCGAAGCUCUUGAUCGAAGCCCCGGUAAACGGCGGCCGUAACUAUAACGGUCCUAAGGUAGCGAAAUUCCUUGUCGGGUAAGUUCCGACCUGCACGAAUGGCGUAAUGAUGGCCAGGCUGUCUCCACCCGAGACUCAGUGAAAUUGAACUCGCUGUGAAGAUGCAGUGUACCCGCGGCAAGACGGAAAGACCCCGUGAACCUUUACUAUAGCUUGACACUGAACAUUGAGCCUUGAUGUGUAGGAUAGGUGGGAGGCUUUGAAGUGUGGACGCCAGUCUGCAUGGAGCCGACCUUGAAAUACCACCCUUUAAUGUUUGAUGUUCUAACGUUGACCCGUAAUCCGGGUUGCGGACAGUGUCUGGUGGGUAGUUUGACUGGGGCGGUCUCCUCCUAAAGAGUAACGGAGGAGCACGAAGGUUGGCUAAUCCUGGUCGGACAUCAGGAGGUUAGUGCAAUGGCAUAAGCCAGCUUGACUGCGAGCGUGACGGCGCGAGCAGGUGCGAAAGCAGGUCAUAGUGAUCCGGUGGUUCUGAAUGGAAGGGCCAUCGCUCAACGGAUAAAAGGUACUCCGGGGAUAACAGGCUGAUACCGCCCAAGAGUUCAUAUCGACGGCGGUGUUUGGCACCUCGAUGUCGGCUCAUCACAUCCUGGGGCUGAAGUAGGUCCCAAGGGUAUGGCUGUUCGCCAUUUAAAGUGGUACGCGAGCUGGGUUUAGAACGUCGUGAGACAGUUCGGUCCCUAUCUGCCGUGGGCGCUGGAGAACUGAGGGGGGCUGCUCCUAGUACGAGAGGACCGGAGUGGACGCAUCACUGGUGUUCGGGUUGUCAUGCCAAUGGCACUGCCCGGUAGCUAAAU